AUACUCACCUGGCAGGGGAGAUACUGUGACCAGGCAGGUGGUUCUCCAGAGCAAGGCUUCUCCAUUACAUUUCAUAUGUGCUGAUCCCUGCAAUUUCUCCAAAUUCAAGAAUUUUGGAUGCAAAGCUUGUGGCAGUAAGGACUGUAUUCACACUCUCCUUAA
rnacentral:snRNA from 1 species